CAGUUUCAUUAUAAUUUCAUAUAUACAUAGAAAACCUUGAACUUAAGGUCAAAUCAAAAUCAUAAGCCACAACUAUUUAGUCUGUAACACAACGAUGUGCAAGAAUGACCAAUCAAACAUUCAAAAAAAUUGAAUCCUACUAUGUUUAUGUUCCCCGUGUAUAUCGAAACUGUACUGCCUUCAUCUAAUCAAAUAAAUCUGUACUUUUUUGCAUACAAGCGACCAUGGAACUCUUCAUCUCCCUUACAACAGUGGAGUUACAAUCUCCCGCAGGUCCCCGCCUUGGGGAUCCUGAACUUGGACACUGCAUUAGGAUUCCCAUCACCACCACCCACUCCCUCACCCUGCCACCCGUCAUUCUUCUACACCAGCCUCGGCUUCUUCAAAGCCGAUCCAUUUGCCACUGCCUUGUGACCGGCCGGCUCUCCUGCAUCAUAGCUGGUGUCACUAUUCUGCUC
rnacentral:lncRNA from 1 species